rnacentral:rRNA from 1 species
UAGUGGCGAACGGGUGAGUAACACGUGGGGAACCUGCCCAUGAGAGGGGGAUAACAUCCGGAAACGGAUGCUAAUACCGCAUACGUCAUUGGACCGCCUGGUCCGGUGAUAAAAGACGGCUUCGGCUGUCGCUCAUGGAUGGCCCCGCGGCGCAUUAGCUAGUUGGUGAGGUAACGGCUCACCAAGGCCAUGAUGCGUAGCCGACUUGAGAGGGUGAUCGGCCACAUUGGGACUGAGACACGGCCCAAACUCCUACGGGAGGCAGCAGUAGGGAAUCUUCCACAAUGGGUGAAAGCCUGAUGGAGCAAUGCCGCGUGAGUGAAGAAGGUCUUCGGAUCGUAAAGCUCUGUUGUUAGUGAAGAACAAGGGAAGUAGUAACUGGCUUCCCCUUGACGGUACCUAACCAGAAAGUCACGGCUAACUACGUGCCAGCAGCCGCGGUAAUACGUAGGUGACAAGCGUUGUCCGGAUUUAUUGGGCGUAAAGCGAGCGCAGGCGGUCUUUUAAGUCUGAUGUGAAAGCCCACGGCUCAACC